GAAAUGCGAUAAGUAGUGUGAAUUGCAGAAUUCAGUGAAUCAUCGAAUCUUUGAACGCACAUUGCGCCCCUUGGUAUUCCAUGGGGCAUGCCUGUUCGAGCGUCAUUUGUACCCUCAAGCUCUGCUUGGUGUUGGGUGUUUGUCCCGUCUCCGCGCGUGGACUCGCCCCAAAGUGAUUGGCAGCCGGCGUACUGGUCCCGGAGCGCAGCACAUGUCGCGCAAACGAGUGCCUUGGUACGGCGGCGUCCAUAAGCCCCUCUCUCACGCUCUUGACCUCGGAUCAGGUAGGGAUACCCGCUGAACUCAAGC
rnacentral:misc_RNA from 1 species